rnacentral:lncRNA from 1 species
CUUGGGGUCACGGUACAAAUGUUAUCAGGAAUGUUUUUCACAACAGACCAAGAAGUACUGCUGUUGUCACGAUUAUAUAGCCUGAAAACUCCGUCCUGGUCAAGCGUUGCCCGGUAAUAGUAAUCUCCCGUCAAGCUACUUCCGGAGGUGAUGUUAACAGUACCUCCAUUCCUUAGAAGAACAUAGAUGCCACCUGACUCAUCAAAAAUCAACCGUAGGCCAGAAUUGCUGCUAUUUGCAGCAUCACUGGUGUAAAUUGAAUAAUAAACAUCAUAUGCUUUACCAGAUUCUGGGUCCAAGGUAUUAAGUACGAGAUUGCCACCAGCUUUCAUUUGAAGCUGGAACCUCCCCUUUGAGUAGCUGCUGUUUGACUGCUGAGAAUACAUGGUGCCACCGAUUUCCAGUGUUUGAGUUGGCAAGAUGGUGUUGGCUGGAUUCUGGAAGCUCUGCCACACUGUAAGAUUUUGAUUCCUAUUUUCAAGAACAAAGUUACCAGUAUCAAGCAUGGCAGCAUGAGUGACCGCGGUUACAGAGUUCUGAGGUCUCCAUAUCUCUUUGCCUUGUGGAUCACUUAGUAUGAACUGGCCAUCAGAGGUAAGUUCAAGUUUGGAUCCUUUAGGAGCCGGGUUAUCUCCAUUUGCAUACCAAACUAAGGUUUUUUCCGGUAUGUUUUCGAACCAGAUAGCAAGCAAGAAGAGACUUUGACUGCCAAGGCGGUAAAACCCAAAGGCAAAUUCACCAGAAGGUGAUACACAUCUAGGCGAGUCCUGGGAGGCUGUAAUGUCAAGAUCAGUGCAAUAUUGAGACAACACUAAAGAUGGAAGGACAAGAAGAAGAAAGAACCUGGCAGCCAUUGCAGAAGAGCCUUGGUACUACCCUUCACACCGGAGAAAGUUUGUAGAACAUAUAAAAGUAUUCACAUGGGAUUGUGAGACUGGAAAAAAUAGCAUGCACAAGGUCAAUGCGGUCGGAUUGGGUGAGCGGUGGAAUCAAUUUCGUGAGUGAAACAUCUUCCUAAUUCACUUUAAAGGUCAUUGCUGACACGUUUUCCAAGCUUUGAAUCUUUGAAAAACUAGUUAUGGCCAACCACAUAUGUGUGGCUUAUCUUCUUCCACUUCAUAGGGUAUAGGAUAUGGCUUACCCCCACAUGCAUUAGGUAUUUAGUGUGCAUCUUCCAAUAGUACAUCAUUGGAAAGCGACUAAUUCAUUGUCUAAUAUGCACAUCCAUUUUUAGGGCCUAGGUCCUCAUUUGUGGUUGAAACGAUCUAUUCUCAAUCAGCCAAGACUUUUGCAUGCUUACAAAUUUGAUUUCACUUAUUCAAGGUAUGAAAGGGAUUUUAUCGGUCAAUUCUUACAUUGCAGAAUUGUUGAAAUUGUCUUAUUACAGCCACCAAGAAGCUAAAUUAUGUGUCUAAUCUCAUGGUUAUAGUCCGGGGUUCUACUAACUUGUGAACUGGUAUCUAUUGAUUCUAAUUGUCCGUUACCAUUUUCUAAGACUUUUGAUACAAGUUGGAUGAGCUCAAUUGCACCUCAAUCAGCCUCUGUUAAGAUUCCACAGUUAUAUAGUUGGUUUGAAUUUUUCUAAAAAUGGUUUUAAGAAAAUUACCUAUCAAACGUUUCUCCAAAAAAUAUUAUAAGUAAUUUUUCAAUAUUAAAAGUGAUUUUUCAUAUUUUUAACAAUAUUUCGUAAAUUUUGUCAAAUGUUUUUUUUUUUCAUAAAUACUUUAAAAAUAGAAAUAUUUCUUAAAAUUAUUGUCAAAUAUUAAAACUAUCAAAACAUAUGAUUUGAAAAUCAUAAUAAAUAUUAUGUGAAUAAUUCAAGUGGUCAUCUAUUUUCUUUUUUGUUCUUUUAUUUUUUGUAACCCGGAGUGUUGGGUUAAAGUUGAUAUGAACACCAAAGGCCUCAUUUUUGGAAUUUAAUUAACACAAAAUUCUUUUUCAAGUUGAUAAUUAUAUAAAUAAUCUUAUGGAGUCCAUUAUUGAAUUUUAUUGAGAGUGUGUGGCCAAAAGCCAAAAGGAUGAUGUCUACCGUUCUUUCUUUUCCAUUUUCAUUUAUUGAAAUUUUAUUCCCCCGAUGAACUUGACAACCAUCUUAAAAUAAUUAUUGGAAGCUAUUAACUUUAAAUAAUAAGGAUCAUGUUCAAUAAUUAACAUUUUUUUGAAAAAAAAAGUAAUCAUUGACUUAGAGCUCGAAUGACAGUGACGGUAAAAAACGUUUUUAACCUAAAAAGUUUUUUUGAAAGAAAAAAAAAAAUAGGUAUUAGUAAAAUUUAAUAAACGCUUUUUAAAAAUUUGAAAAAUCAUUGAUAGUAUUAAAAAAUCACUUAUAGUGUUUUUAGAGAAAUGUUUUAUAGAUGAUUUUCUUAAAAACACUUUAUGAGAAAAUACUUUCAGAGAAAAUAUUUUCAUUAAAAAUACUUUAAAUAAAAAUAUUAUCAAAUGUACUCUUAAAUAUUUUAUUAUGAAAUUUAUUAUUCUAAUUAAUUUUAUAUAUAAUGACAUGAACAAAAAAUAUCAUAUCAUGAAAAAUUUGUGUUUUCUUUAGUAGUGAUAUUAUUUUUUGGAGAAUAAUAUUUGAAGGUGUGGAAAAAAGAUUGGUGAAAAAGCGAAAAAUCCUUUUAAUCUUACAUCCUAGUUGUGUUCAAAUAUAAGAGUUGGGAUCACCAAAUUCAUUAAUAUUCAAGAAGAAGUAAGAAUGAAAAUUAAAUAUUCAUCUUCAUUCCUAAUUUUUACAUAGCAAAUAUGGCCUUCUAAUGUUACAUUGAACAGUGAGAUGUUUCUUGCACCAUUAAAAAAAUCAGCCUUGGAAAACAGACGUCAAAUUUCUUGCACCUGACAUUGACAUGGACUCAAACUAUCUAAAACUAACCUAAAUUCAUGGAGAUGAAUGGCCAAUCAAGUGAAGCACUUGCCUGCGUGAUGUCUGGUCAGUCAUCUUGAAAUGAGAAUUAUAUAGUCAGAUAAAUAAUAAAACACAUAACCUAAUAUUCUAUUCAUUGAUUCGCUCAUUCACUAAUCAUUAGAAAGUCGGGAAAUAUAGAAGAGCAAAUUUUCUAAUUCAAGGAGAUGCUGAAGAGGCUCAGAAUCAUAAUUUCUAUACAAAAUCAGGAAGUUCAAUGAGGGAAUUGCACUCAACCCUUUAAGAUAAGAAUAUGGAAAUGGAAAACAAAGCUUCAAAAAGUCUUAGGUUAUGUUUGGUUUCUGAAAAAUAUUAAGGAAAGAAAAAAAAUACAAAUGAAAAUGAAUUUUUCAUAUUUGGUUGUCCUAUGAAAAAUAUAAAAGAAAAUCAAAUAUAAUUAAAACUAAUUAAAAAUAUAUGUAUUUUUAAAUUUUUUAAUCUUUAUAUUGAUGAGUUAAAAUAAAUAAAAUGAGUUUGAAGUAAUAAAAAAAAUAAUUUAUCGAUUUUUAAUCUAUUUUUUAUUUUCCCUCACUUUUUCUUUCCUUCUACUUUUCCUUUGUAUUUUCUUUCCCUUGCAUUUUCCCUCAAAUUUUCUGGGAACCAAACAUAGCCUUAAAGUCUAGAUCAAUUUAAUUACAAUAUUCUUCUUCGGAGUUUCACAGUACAAACCUUCAUUAAGACUUGGGACUCUUUAAUUUUCUUUUCAAAGAAAGAGAUGACUUGGAUAAACAAUGAGAACCAAUGCCCAUGGUCACUUACAGAAGUUUAUGCAUGACGAUGACAAUUCUACUAAUGAGAAGCAAGCACAAGAAGACUGCCACCUCCAAGGUCCAUGCCAAUGACCUCAAUGAUCAUCCGCAGGGCAACAAAAAAAUAAACAGAAAUUCCAAAAUAAGAACAAGACCACGUCAAAAUUGUGACAAAAACAAAUUCAGCAACUACCUGACAAAGAUUUGUCUUUCUACUUGCCUUUUGUUAUAAGGACUCCCGAAAAACUUAGGCUGCUAAACCAAAAGUGUGUUUAAACAAAUAAAAAUUUGACCAAUUCAGUACCAUAAAAUACUUAUAUAAAAUUGUUGGUUUAGGAAUGGCAACUUUCUAAAUGAUCCUAGAUCUAAAUAUACAUUGGCAUAAAAUUGCAGUUGUUUACCUCACAUGUUUUUUUAUUGUCAUAAUAGAACUUUGUUCCUUAGAAGAAGGCUUCUAUGCUUAUCCUGGUUACUUAACAUGGAACAUGUGCAAAUAGAGUUUGUUGCCUGCCCAAAUCUUCCACAACCGGACCAGCCAAUGACUUGUGUGCAUGUACAGUUCUUCAAGAGUGUUGAGCAGAUUAAAAGCCUUUGAAUGCAAAAAGGAGGUCAAGACAUUAACAAUGUAGAAUAUUUAAGUAAUUCUGGUAUCAAACAUAAUAAAAUUGAUUAAACAAAACCUUGAACAAUGAGGUAUUUUCUUCCAAAAAAGAUGAGCUCCACCAUUGUGUGGGCUAUUGAGAAUAUGAAAAAUAAGACAUUAGAAUGAUAAGCAAUUAAAAUUACCUACUAAUGAGCAGCAAACUAGAAUGUUGAAUUUUGACUUAGUAUUUGCUGGAAUUUGAAUUUUGAAUAUUGCAGCUGGAGUCUUGCACAAAAUCUGCAACAUCUAGAUAUUUUCUUAUUUUUAUUUGGUCAAGAUUUGGUUUCUAUUUUAUAGGAAGUAGUUAUUCAUCAUCUAGUAGCUUGAUUUUCUGCUAUUCUAAUGUCAUUUAAGUUACAAGUUCAUGUAUAAAUUCAGCACUCUUCAUCAAUAAAAUCAGAGUUCCAGCAGCCCAAAAAUAUAUUUUUUGUAUAAGUAUUUAAUCUUAUACCAACAAAGUGGUAUCAGAGCCAUAGUUAUCUUGAGGGGCCAGUGAGGUGAGAACCCAAACACCUUCUAAAAUCAUAUAGCAAUGGAAGAGUCAAGUCUCACAGUUGCACCAUCAAUUCUUGAUGGAGACAAUUAUGAAACUUGGGCUGUUAGAAUGACAGUUCAUCUACAAGCACUUGAUGUUUGGGAAGCAGUUGAAGAAAAUUAUGAAGUUCCUCCCCUGGGAGCCAAUCCAACUGUGGCUCAAAUGAAGUUGCAUAAAGAAAGAAGGACAAGAAAGGCUAAAGCGAAAGCUUGCUUGUUUGCUGCAGUUUCACCAUCAAUUUUCAUCAAAAUCAUGAAAAUUGAUUCAGCUGUAGAAAUUUGGGAGUAUCUCAAGGAGGAAUACAAAGGAAAUGAAAGAAUCAAGAACAUGCAGGUGAUGAACUUGAUUCGAGAAUUUGAAAUGAAGAAAAUGAGGGAGUCUGAUGCUGUUAAAGACUAUGCUGCACAACUUCUUUCAAUAGCAGACAAAGUUAGGCUGCUUGGAAAAGAAUUUUCCAAUGAGAAGAUUGUUCAAAAGAUAUUGGUUACACUUCCUGAGAAAUAUGAAGCUACAAUUUCCUCUUUGGAGAAUUCAAAAGAUCUGUCAACUAUUAGCUUGACAGAAUUAUUACAUUCCUUGGAGGCUGUGGAACAAAGAAGACUCAUGAGACAAGGAGAUACUACAGAAGGAGCAUUUCAAGCAAGAAUGCAGAAAAAUGCAGGCCAUAAAAAUGGAAAGAUGAACAACAACAAGCCAUGCAGCAACAACCAGAAAAAUGGAGUUUUUCCACCUUGUCCUCAUUGCAAGAAGACAAAUCAUUCUCCACAAAAAUGUUGGUGGAGACCAGAUGUGAAAUGCAACAAGUGUGGUAAACAAGGACAUGUGGAGAGGAUUUGCAAAAAUCAACAACAGGAAGAAACUAGUGCAGCAGUUGACUAUUGCCAGGAGGAGCAAUUGUUUGCAGCAACGUGUUUUGCUAAUAAAAGCACCUCUGAAAGCUGGCUUGUGGAUAGUGGUUGUACAAAUCACAUGACAAAUAAUCAAGAUCUCUUUAGAGAACUUGAUAGAACAACUAUUUCCAAAGUCAGAAUUGGAAAUGGUGAGUAUAUUCCAGUGAAGGGCAAAGGAACGGUUGCUAUCGAAAGCCAAACAGGUUUGAAACUCAUUUAUGAUGUUUUGUUUGUGCCUGACAUUGACCAAAACUUACUCAGUGUUGGACAGCUCGUUGAGAAAGAAUUUAAAGUUUAUUUUGAAGAUAGGAAUUGCAUUAUCAAGGAUGCUGAAGGCAAAGAGGUGUUCAACAUAAAAAUGAAGGGCAAAAGUUUUGCCUUGAAUUUACUGGAAGAUGAGCAUACUGCUAUUUUACAACAAGAUAGCACAACAAUGUUUUGGGACAGAAGGGUCGAGCACUUUCAUCAUGAUGAUGUGCUCUACAUGAAGAAAAAUCAAAUAGUUGAAGGACUUCCUGACUUAGAAAAAGAUCUUCCUAUAUGUGCUACUUGUCAAUAUGGGAAGCAAACUAAACUUCCCUUUCCAAAGAAAAUAUCCUGGAGAGCAACCCAAAAACUGCAACUGGUGCAUACUGAUGUUGGUGGAUCUCAAAAAAUGCCAUCCUUGAAAUGGAAUGCAAACAAUGUUUGGUGGAUCUCAAAAAAUGUCAUCCUUGAAAUGGAAUGCAAACAAUUUUGGGCUAAAACUGCAAGUAGAGCAGUAUAUUUUCUGAACAUAUUGCCAACAAAAGUGUUAAAGAAGCAGACCCCUUUCGAAGUUUGGUUUGAGUGUCUACGUGCAAGACUUGGAGUUUGCAUCUACGAAGUCAAGGAGGAGUGUUGAAUUUUGACUUAGUAUUUGCUGGAAUUUGAAUUUUGAAUAUUGCAGCUGGAGUCUUGCACAAAAUCUGCAACAUCUAGAUAUUUUCUUAUUUUUAUUUGGUCAAGAUUUGGUUUCUAUUUUAUAGGAAGUAGUUAUUCAUCAUCUAGUAGCUUGAUUUUCUGCUAUUCUAAUGUCAUUUAAGUUACAAGUUCAUGUAUAAAUUCAGCACUCUUCAUCAAUAAAAUCAGAGUUCCAGCAGCCCAAAAAUAUAUUUUUUGUAUAAGUAUUUAAUCUUAUACCAACAUAGAAUACAUCCAUGGUUUCCUCCAUGCCUGUAUAAGAGAAAUGACAAAGAAAGUGAGGAAGAACCAAAGCAUCCAUGUUUUUCCAGUCAUUAAGCGGUUCACUUGGGUUAUGCAUAUGGCCAAAUAAAAAACAGGGCAUGAAUAUGUGAGUGCCGUUAGAAUAUGAGAAUUGUCUGUGUCAAAAUGCGAGCACCUAGGUUGAAUCCUCAUCUACAGCUAUUCAAAAUUCGUCUCAGGCUUGAAGCUUCAAGAAGAAGAAAAUCUUAAAUCAAAUAAAUGGAGCCAAGGAAUUAUGUAGAUAUAUUCUUGAGAUUAGAAAUUGGAACAUAACUUUUCUAAAGAACUAAGUUUAAGCACAGAACAAUUACCUGCCGAUAUGUUGGUGCAGUGCCACUUUCAUUAAAAUAGCACAUCAUUGAUCUCUAUUUUUGGAAUGUGAGAUAUAUAACGCCAUUCUUGCCCUUUCUCAAAUUGGUGCCGUUGUUCUAGUGAAGGACAUUUGUAGACAUACAGAUAAGAGAGAGGGAGUCUGGCAGUGUCAACUACUGGAGCUUAGGGCAGUUGGCGAUAUACAAGGUUUCAAGAGUGGUAAGGUGGUGAAGACCUGCUUCUGUUAAGGAUUGGAGCCUUGGGCACAAGUAUAAUAUUUUGAGAGAAAUAUGGUGUUGACGAACGGACCCCUAUGGAGAACUGGAGCUCAGUGCAAUUCCUGAUCUCUAAUUGUAGAAGAGAGGUGAGUCGUUGAAGCCCCCUGCUGUAAAGAGACUUGAGAUUUGGAAGAUCUGAGAUUGAAAUAUAAGUCAGAGAAGAGGGCAGCAGGCACUCCUUGGGAAAUAAUUCCACGUCUUCACAUCCACCUUUGAUUGUUAAUUUAGUAAGAGAGGUCAAUCUUUGCAAAUCCCAAUCCACCUGGGAUGUGAGUUGGUUGCAGCGACAAACUUCUAGUUCACGUAGGUUGGAAGGCAAACCUUCUCUGUGAAACAAAAAUUCUGAGCAAUCCCUUAAAAUCAGUUUCCGCAGAGAUGAGUGUGUGUGGACCAGCAAUCUGAGCUUGGAGCAACUGGAAAUCUCGUGGUCCAUUGAGUCCAGAGCAGGCAGUUGGAUAUAUACAAGAUUAUGGCACCCUCUGAUUUCCAAAUUAAGAAGAGAUAUGGGAUCGCCCUCUGAAAUCGAAAUGCAGAGCUUCUCAAGUCCCUAAGACCAUGGAUUGCGAAAUUAGUCAACCUGGGGGAGAUGUCCAAUAUUGAGAAGGAUAAUGGGGGAGAAUUAUUGUAGGUACCACCAUUGAUUGAUAGAUUUUCAAGUACAGGGUGAUGGCAUCUGAACAACUCUGGUAGAAUAAGGUCCACUUUGGUACAGUAAGAGAUUGAUAGUGAUUGCAACAUAGUGGGUAAACCAACUUUGCUCGGGGAUCUGAAAAAGAGCAGUCACAAAUUUUUAAACUGUGGAUGUUGGUUUGCAGGAUUUCCUCCUCUAGCAGAGACUCCAUAGAAUCACACUUUGUGGAUGUUGCUUCCAUUGAGAGACGUCUGAAAUUUCAAUUUCUGAAGUUUGAAGAGCUGUGAACCCACAAGUUUGCCUUUUCAACUGCAAUCUACGGGCAGCAGGAACAUUGAGUGUAGGCACAAGCAGUUGCGGACAUAUUUCAAGGUUAAGUUCCUGCAAUGAAGGAAGGUGUAUUGGUAAUUCCCCAAUGAGUAUAGGACAUUGCCUUAUAGAAAGCUCCUGGAGACGAGGGAAUUCUCCACGUAUGCCUCCACGACAUAACCAUUUCUCCCAAUUGGACAUUACAAAAUGAUAUAGUUUACAGGGAUGGGAAGGAGGGCUGAAGUGAAAAAGAGGAGUUCCCAUAAAACUCACCACCCACCCUGACUACUCCUUUCAUGUCUGAGAUCUCUAGAAGUUUAAGACAAGGUAGCUGCCCCAGUGGCGGCAAUGUUGAGCAAUUGCCACAACCCCAAAGCUUAAGGGACCCAAGAUUCAAGAAUGAAGGAUCUCCAAGCCAAUAUGGAAAUGUUACACCAGGAUACUUUAUGAUGGAGAGUUAUUUUAAAUUUGGAUGAGGUUGUAACCAGCUAAGAAUAUUGUCUAUUACACCAUUAAUUUGUAUAACAUCACUAAUAAUCAUGUCCUUCCAAUUCAGGGAUAACUCAUCCAGGUAUCUCUUAUCCUUCAUAUGUCCUUGCAAUGCAUCCUCAACGCGCACUACAUUCUCCAUUUUUGAAGUUUUAAGUAUUCCCUGAAUCUCCGGAAACUCUCUCAAUCCAUCCUCCAAUUCCAUAUCCACUUUUUUGGCCCACAAUAACAUAAGGCAACUGUUGUAAACUUUUUAAUUGAUCUAAUCAAUUUCCCCAUUUUUGAAGGCAAUUCAAGAAGAAUGUGACAUCUACUCAAUAUCAUCGAUCGUAUGUAAAUUGUACAAAUAACAUAUUGAUUUAGGUAAUUUUUCAAUCAUCAUAAAAGAGAGAUCCAAGUAACACUACUGUUUUAAAUUGUGUAUUGAAUCAAGCACAUCUGUUAUGUUGUAUGCACACAAUGAUAACACACGCAAGGAUUUAAAUUUUGGUAAUAUAUUUUGUAAAACUCUUUUACUCCAUGUAUAAUAAGGAAUACGUGUAAAUCUCUUCACGUCUAAGAAUGUCCAGAGAUGUUUAGCUUCACCAAUAGCCUCAAACUUAUCACGUACAACCAUCCAGUCGUAGCCACUUUAAAAGUAAAGAAAAUGACGAGCCUUAUCAGUUAUUUUUUGCACCUUAUAAUCUUCCAAUUGAACACAAAAUUCGCUGGAGAUAUGUUGAGACAAGUCAUGUAUUAUAUCAUGCAUUACAAAGCAUGAUUUUAUGGUAAAUGAUUCCUUUGUAAUAGAUUGUUGAAAAAAUGACUUUGCUAGAAGCUCAUUAAAACAUGACUCACCUACCUCUUCCAGUCUUUCUUCACUUUGUCCCGCAUGUAAAAGCCCUUCUGCCAUCCAUAAUAGAAUCAGCUUCUCUUUUUCUUGUUACCUACUCUCUCUUUGAGUUUAAGCUGAAACAAAUUUAGGGUGUCAUCAGAUUUAGUUUCAGAACUGAUUUCCUUGAGAAUUGAUUUUGUUACCUCCUCGAUGAGAAAAAUCUCAGUGGAAACACAGACCCAUGCUUUCAAGUGGAAGUGUUGUUUGACCGUGUCAUGGUUAUAGAGAAGCUGAGCGAGUGUGGUCUUGCCGCUGCCGCCCAUGCCCACCAUGGACAUCACAUCUAUGACGUUGUUGCCUGUUGCAUUUUCCUUUUCAGAAAGCAACCACUUCACCAUCUCCUCCUUGAUUCCAUCCCUGCCCACCACAGAGGACUCAUCCACCAAAGAAGUGGUUGGUGGUCUUGGUGACAGUUUAUCGCCUUCACCUUCUUUCAGCCAAAGCUCAACUUUUUCUUGUGCAAUGUUUUCAAGUACGGUAAUCAAGCCCUUGACCCUGGGCUCCAUUCUUUGAGUAGCAAAUGGAGCCUUAACCCUGGUGGAGAACUUGUUCCACACCUGAUAAAUUCCGCCAGUUUGGGGGUGUUCAGCAGCUUCGAUCUGGCACCGCAAAGUUUUGGUAGCGAUCUCGUCCAACAGGUCCUCCGCAUGAUACACAGCAUCCUUAACUUGGACUAGCCAGUCUUUGACAAGUGGAUCUGAAAAUUGCUUCAUCUCCGCAUCAUUGAGCGCUUUGUGGACAACCAGCAAUUUCCUCUUAAAGUUGGUGAGGAGUUCAUGGCUGAGCUUUUGUGCCCGGAUGAAGUUGAUGAGGUCCGGAGAAGCCAACCUGUCGAGUAGAACUUGAAGUGAAGCCAAGAGGAGUGCGUCCGCCAUUGCAAAAGGAAUUCAGCGAGAUUCAAUACAGGAAAAAUGAAGGUAAGCAGAAUUAAUGCAGAAUCACAGCAACAAACUGCAAAGCAAAGACUGGUCUCUAUUGCCAAAAUGCAUGAGGCUUGAAGGAAUCAUUGAUGGUGGUGGACCAAAUGCUGACUUUUUUGCCAAAACCAAUAAUUGAGAGGUGAGUAAAAGAAAGCAAAGGAAAAAGGCUGAUGACAGACUCUGUUGAGUAACGUGGGUGGAGCUUUCCAAAAAUGGAAAGCAAAAGCCACCGGGUUGUUCUUUGGUACCCAUCAUUUAUUUUGGGUUGCCAACCCACAUUUGAACCACUAAUAAAUGCAAGUGUAAAGUGUAAUAUUAUAAUUUAUUAUUAAAUAUCAAAUAUAAUUUGUUAUUUAAUUAAUUAAGCACCUAACAAUUAUCUAAAAUAAGAAAAUUUUAUCAACUACUCUUGUACUCUUGGUAUGCAAAUAUAGAAAAAGAAAUAUUAAUUUAAUAUGAAAAUUAAAUAGCUUCAACCAACGUAUUUGUGAUAAAUCAAAUUUAAAGAUUAAGUAUAAGAUUUCUUAAGGAAGAAAAACAAAAAUUUGUAUUUCAUAAAGGAAAUAAAAUAUUUCAAGUGAUUACAUUUAUUAAAGGUAAUAUUUGAUAUUUUUUUAUUUAAAUAUAAAUUUUGCCAGUAAAAAUGUAGCAUUUUAAUAUGUAAUGAUUUACAAGAUUUAGGUUUUAGAACUUUUUUUUUUAUGAGUUUAUUAUUAAUCAAAUUGAAAUAAUUUAGUCCUUUGUUAUCAAAUUGUUUUCAAUAUGUGAGAAAAGUUACAAACAACGUAAGAGAAAGUAUGAAUAAUAUAAGAGAAGGUAUGAAUAAUGCAAGAAAUUGUACGAAUAAUGUAAGAUAGGGUAUGAUGGAUGGUAUGAACAAUGCAAAAAAUGAUACAAGUAAUGUAAAACAAGGUAUGAACAAUAUGAGAAAUGGUAUGAAUAAGAAGCCUCUUCUCAUUAUUAUUGUUGAAGACAAAGCAAUGUGUAAAUAGAAAUUGAUGAAUAUAUUGCAAAUGUGGUGGGUAAGGAGCACUGAGUAGACCAUACUGCUUUAAAUUUCAUCACAAAAGUGUUGGGUUUGCAUACAAAUAAAUUUAUGAUCUAAAAUAUAAACAUAAAAUAGUUAACAACAUUAAUUAUGUAAUAAAAUUAAUACGAAGUUGGUUUAUCCUUAUAUUCAUUUCUACAUUUAGUAAUUCUUGUCUAAGUCCUAAAGUCAUGAAGUCUUCUCGAUUUGCAUGCUUAUAUUGAACAUUAACAAGAACUACAAAAUAUAAGUAUUUAAUAAGCAUCACUUUUAAAACAUGACGUGGAUAAAGUAUAUCCAAAAUAAUUAGUUUAUACAUUUUUGGCCCAAUGAAACAUCAAAUGAAUGUGGAUCCUCCACAUUUAACAAAAUGCACAUGAUAUUAGUCAUUCAAUAAAGGAAUUCUUAAAAAAAAAAUUAAAAAUUAAAAAUUAAAAAUUAAAAAUUAAAAAUUAAAAAUUAAAAAUAAAUAAAUAAAAAGGCUAAAAGAUGGUCAAACCCGUAGAUAAAGAGAGAGUUGUCCUUGAUUUUAUCCUAUAUUCUGUCCUACAUAUUGUUUGGAUGCCAACUAAAAAAAUGAAGAAAAAACAGAUAAUUUAAUGAAAAGUUAUUAAAUAAUUUAAGAAGGAAAAAGAAAAUAAAGGAGAGUUAAAAAAAACAUGAAUAGUUUAAUGGAUUUCAAAUUUUAUUUUAUUUUAUUUUUCCAUUUUUACACAUCUCUUUGUAAUAUAUUCAAUAUUCUAUAUGAUAUUUAUAAAGAAGAUAAUCAAAUAUCAUUGAAACAUGGGUACCUUUUUUCAACAAAUGCAUCACUAAUUACAUAUAUUUUAAUGAAAAUAUUGACAAUGUUUCGAUAUUUUCACUAUUUUCCAAAAUCAUAAUAAACAAAUAUAGUUGUACACAGAAAUUUCAUAAAUUUUAUCCUGCGAAAUUAGCAAAAUAAAAUAGGAAAAAUAGUGUGAACAAAUGAUUUAUUAAAUUCAAGAAUAUCGCAGGUACAAUUUCAAAAUAAUAAUAAUAAUAUUUUUUCUAACAAAGAAUAUUUUCCCUUUAAUUCUUUUGCCUUGAUUGCACUUUGGAAGACAACGAUGACGUUUUCUUGAUUUCAAAGAUCAAUCGAGGGCCACAAGUGGCUUAUUCCCGAAUGACCUUGUUGAAUGACAAAGAACGAGUGUAUUAGUUCUUUUGUCGCUUACCGAACUUAUAGGGAGUUUUUAUUUGAUUUCUGAAUUUUCUUCCCUCUCCUCUCCUUGAUGGAAGACAUCUUUAUUUAUAGGUGAAGAUAGGGAAUUUGAAUUUCAAAAUCCCCAAUUUUAGUUGCUUAAUUCAAGGGAUUUAGUUCCUUAAUUUUAGCAAAUUUUCUUUUCCGGGAGGUUUUACCAACAAGAUAAUAAGACUUAUCCUUUUUUUUAGAAGACCAAAUUAAUGGUAAUUUAUUUAUGUCUACAAUAGUUUAAAAAUUUUCUUAUAUAUAGAACUCCACCCUAUUCUUGUCUACUUUCCCUUCAUCCGACGGUUCAUCUGUGUAUGAAAAAUUUGUUUUUUAAAAUCUAUUGGAAGUGUCUCAACUUUUUAAUUGGAAUAUAUAAUUUUUUUUAAUAAAAAAUUAUUAUAUAAAUAUUUUCUAAAUUCAUAUAGUAUUGUAAUUAGAUUUUUUAUAGAAUAAAGAAAGGGAAUAGAUUACCUAGUGAGAUCUACAUACAAUUUAAUAAUUAAUUAGUUAACUAAUAUUAGAUUAACUCGGACUCAAAUUAUUUGGCCAGCAGAGUCAUGGGAGCCUUAAAAGAGAAGCUAAGAGCAAAGGGGAUGCAUACAACAAAACCAAAACUAUGGUAUUCCCUUCAAGGAUCUCAUGUCCACUAUCAUUACUCUAAAAAGCAUUGAAAUUUUGGAGAUCAGGAGAGGAUUCAAGCAAUUGGCAAAGCAGUUUCCCAUAUGAAGUUGGUAAUUAUGAGCAAGAGAAAUUUUCCAAUGGAAGAAGAAUUGGACUGGAAGUAAGUAUUUGAAGUAACAUCAUGGCAAAGUUGUUGGUAAUUGGUAACUGUGGGGCUGAGUGAAACAUUAGAUUAAAUUCUGACCUCUUAUUUCGUCUACAAGAAACCUUGAGCUAACUAGUAGAUGGGUUUAAUUGCAUGGUCCAAACUAAGAUUAAAAUAAGAAUGCAAGCUCCGUGUCCACAAUACGCUUUCUAACUGCCGAUAUACGAAACCAUCAGGUGGUUUUCUAUGUUUUGAAUCUUCCAAAACCUUGAAAGACUUUUGGUGAAGUUGCCAAAAGUUCUAUAUAGAUAGAGUUCACAGCUGGUUUUGAAUUUUCUAAACACCUAGAAAAUACACUUUUUGCAGAAAGUGCUUGCCAAUUUUCCAAUACCUGUAAAGGUGAGAAUAUGAUGUUUACCUGCCACCUUGAAAUUUAUAACCAUAGUGUAGCAACCUUGUUUGUACUAUUAGAACAAGAAAAUGCAACCAUACUAACAAAGAAAACACUAUUAGAACAAACAUGGAUAUUCAACUGAAGUUCAUGAUAUAUGGAACUUCCAGGAUUGCAAAGACGAGUAGGUGCGUAUAUACUGUCUUAGGGAUGUGUAGUUUCAGAAGGUUGAACUAAAGGGGAAAGGACUACGGGGCACAGCAACUUCAACAACUCCUUGAAGCAUCAAUAUGACCAUUCCCAUGGAGGGCCUCAAAGAAGGGUCCUCUUGAAUGCACCAAAUGGCAACCAUCACUACCCUCUCUAGCAUCCCCAUGUCUUUUCCUGCUUCAUCAUCAUUCUUCACUAGCUUAUCCAAUCUGUGCCCUCUAUAGCAAUCAUAAGCCCAGUCAGCAAGUAUUGCUUCCUCCUCAUUUUCCGGCUGUGAAUGUACGCUCUUCCUGCAACUGAUGAUCUCCAGUAACAUAACCCCAUAACUAUAAACAUCCACUUUCGCCGUAAUCGGCUUGCUCCUGAACCAUUCUGGUGCAACGUAUCCUUUGGUCCCUCUGAUUGUUGUAAGGGUCCGAGUAUGAUCUCUCAUCAGAAGCUUCGCUAGUCCGAAGUCUGAAAUCCUAGGUGUAAGGUACUCGUCAAGGAGGAUGUUUUCAGGCUUUAUAUCACAAUGGAUGAUGGGGGUGCUGCACUCUUCGUGUAAAUACAUUAGCCCUUUUGCAAUCCCAAAGGCUAUCUGGAGUCUCUGGCUCCAUUCAGGUGUAGAUAUUCCAAACAAGAAGUCUGCUAAAGAUCCAUUGUUCAUGUGCUCGUAUACCAGAAGCCGGUGCACACCCUGAUCACAGUAUCCAAGCAAACUGACUAAAUUCCUAUGGUGGGUCCGCCCAAUCACAGUGACUUCUGUUUUGAAUUCCUUCUCGCCUUCCUGUACCACCUUAUCUAACUUCUUGACUGCCACAAAUCUCCCAGCAUCUGAUGCCAAAACCCCUUUAUAAACUGUUCCAAAAGCUCCCCUGCCCAAUUUCUCCUUGAAUCCACCGGUUGCCUCUUCAAGCUCUUUGUAUGAAUAAGUUCUCACACUGGUGGUCGGGAAUUUGCUUGAAACGGACUGGAUAUUCAUCAGUUUCUUGUUGUAGAAGAAGAGAGCAGCCGCAGGGAUUGCUAACAACAGAAAGAGAUUAAAGAACACAGAGCUGCCAAGGAGUACUGACCCAACAAGGAUCAAGGUAGACUUGUCUGGGCAUCUCUCUAUAGUAUCAUUUUUAAUCCGUACCUUGAUGAGAGCAGUUGAGUACUCGAAGACAUUUUGUGUAGGUUCGUGUCUUCCAUUUGAGAGAGGAAACUUCUUCUUCCAACACUGAUUGUUAGUGUUAUAGAUAGCAACCACACAGAGGCAAUCAUCUUUGCAAGACUGUUUACACUUCUCCUUGUUGAAUUCAGGUCCCUUCUGAAGCUGAUAAUCAGAUAAUGGCCAGUUGACACCUUUUAAUUCACUGAAAUCUACUGCAUCCUUGUUUGCUUUCCAUCCAUCAACAGCUGUUUGGCAGCUGGGCAAUUCAAAAUUCGGUUUACAGCCUUGUUUUCUGUCAAGAGGAUCCAAAUGAGAGUACCCAUCUGGGCAUAGACAAUCAGGCAUCCCCCUUCCAUCAAUGGAACAAUAGCUGUUGAACCCACAAAUUCCACUGCCAAGAUUACUUGGGGUCACGGUACAAAUGUUAUCGGGAAUGUUUUUCACAACAGACCAAGAAGUACUGCUGUUGUCACGAUUAUAUAGCCUGAAAACUCCGUCCUGGUCAAGCGUUGCCCGGUAAUAGUAAUCUCCCGUCAAGCUACUUCCGGAGGCGAUGUUAACAGUACCUCCAUUCCUUAGAAGAACAUAGAUGCUACCUGACUCAUCAAAAAUCACCCGUUGGCCAGAAUUGCUGCUAUUUGCAGUAUCAUUGGUGUUGCUUGAAUAAUAAACAUCAUAUGCUUUACCAGAUUCUGGGUCCAAGGUAUUAAGUACGAGAUUGCCUCCAGCUUCCAUUUGAAGCUGGAACCUCCCCUUUGAGUAGCUGCUGUUUGACUGCUGAGAAUACAUGGUGCCACCGAUUUCCAGUGUUUGAGUUGGCAAGAUGGUGUUGGCUGGAUUCUGGAAGCUCUGCCACACUGUAAGAUUUUGAUUCCUAUUUUCAAGAACGAAGUUACCAGUAUCAAGCAUGGCAGCAUGAGUGACCGCGGUAACAGAGUUCUGAGGUCUCCAUAUCUCUUUGCCUUGUGGAUCACUUAGUAUGAACUGGCCAUCAGAGGUAAGUUCAAGUUUGGAUCCUUUAGGAGCCGGGUUAUCUCCAUUUGCAUACCAAACUAAGGUUUUUUCUGGUAUUUUUUCGAACCAGAUAGCAAGCAAGAAGAGACUUUGACUGCCAAGGCGGUAAAACCCAAACGCAAAUUCACCAGAAGGUGAUACACAUCUAGGCGAGUCGUUGGAGGCGGUAAUGUCAAGAUCAGUGCAAUAUUGAGAAAAAACUAAAGAUGGAAGGACAAGAAGAAGCAAGAACCUGGCAGCCAUUGCAGAAGAGCCUUGGUACUACCCUUCAAACCGGAGAAAGUUUGUAGAACAUAUAACAGUAUUCACAUGGGAUUGUGAGAGUGGAAAAAAGUAGCAUGCACAAGGUCAAUGCGGUCGUAUUGGGUGAGCGGUGGAAUUAUUUUCGUGCGUGAAACUUCUUCCUAAUUCAUUUCAAAGGUCAUUGCUGACACGUUUUCCAAGCUUUGAAUCUUUGAAAAACUAGUUAUGACCAACCACAUGUGUGGUUGGCUUGCUGUGAUUGGCUUGUUCCUGAACCACUCUGGUGCGGUGUACCCUUUCGUCCCUCUGAUGGCUGUAAGAGUCUGAGAUUGAUAAAUCAUCAGAAGCUUUGCCAAUCCAAAAUUUUGGGGCUUGAUGUCACAAUGGAUGAUCUGUGUGGUACACUCCUCAUGCAAGUACGUGAUAUCCCAAAUGCCAUCUGGAUUCUUUUUUUCCUGUCAGGCAUUAAACUUCCGAAGAGGAAGCAAACAGCCAAACAGAAGGAGUUGUCUUACCCCUGCCAUUUACACCAGUAGAAAAAAAGAUUUAAAAAAAAAAUUAAUUUCACUUACAAUUACCCCUACUAACUAAAAAAUUCGACCCAAGGGAGGUGAAAAAAAUAAAAAAUAAAAAAAUAAAAAAAAGUAUUUAAUAAAAUUUUAAACCAAUGAAAUUUGACAAUAUUUUAAACCAAUAAAAGAAGUUACAAACAAUGUAAGAGAAAGUAUGAAUAAUAUAAGAGAAGGUAUGAAUAAUGUAAGAAAUUGUAUGAAUAAUGUAAGAUAGGGUAUGACGGAUGGUAUGAACAAUGCAAAAAAUGAUACAAAUAAUGUAAAGCAAGGCAUGAACAAUAUGAGAAAUGGUAUGAAUAAGGAGCCUCUUUUCAUUAUUAUUGUUGAGGACAAAGCAAGGUGUAAAUAAAAAUUGAUGAACAUACUAUAAAUAUGGUGGGGAAAGGAGCGGUGAGUAGACCAUACUGCUUUGAAUUUCAUCACAAAAGUGUUGAGUUUGUAUACAAAUAAAUUUAUGAUACAAAAUAUAAACAUAAAAUAGUUAACAACAUUAAUUAUGUAAUAAAAUUAAUAGGAAGUUGGUUUAUCCUUGUAUUCAUUUCUACAUCUAGUAAUUCUUGUCUAGGUCCUAAAAUCAUAAAGUCUUCUCAAUUUGCAUGCUUAUAUUGAACAUUAACAAGAACUACAAAAUAUAAGUAUUUAAUAAGCAUCACUUUUAAAACAUGACAUGGAUAAAGUAUAUCCAAAAUAAUUACUUUAUACAUUUUUGGUCCAAUGAAACAUCAAAUGAAUGUGAAUCCUCCACAUUUAACAAAAAUGCACAUGAUAUUAGUCAUUCAAUAAAGGAAUUCUUAAAAAAAAAAAAAAUUAAAAAUUAAAAAUUAAAAAAAAAAAAAACUAAAAGAUAGUCAAACCCGUAGAUAAAGAGAGUUGUCCUUGAUUUUCUCCUAUAUUCUGUCCUAUGUAUUGUUUGGAUGCCAACUAAAAAAAUGAAGAAAAAAUAGAUAAUUUAAUGAAAAGUUAUUAAAUAAUUUAAGAAGGAAAAAGAAAAUAAAGGAGAGUUGAAAAAAUGAAUUUUUUAAUGGAUUUCAAAUUUUAUUUUAUUUUUUUUCAUUUUACACAUCUCUUUGUAGUAUAUUCAAUAUUCUAUAUAUAUAUAUAUAUAUAUAUAUAUAUAUAUAUAUAUAUAUAUGAUAUUUAUAAAGAAGAUAAUCAAAUAUCAUUGAAACAUGGGUACCUUUUUUUAACAAAUGCAUCACUAAUUACAUAUAUUUUAAUGAAAAUAUUGACAAUGUUUCGAUAUUUUCUCUCUUUUCCAAAAUCAUAAUAAACAAAUAUAGUUUAAAAUUUUUCUUAUAUAUAUGAACUCCACCCCACUCUUCUCUACUUUCCCUUCAUUCGUUUAUUUGUCUAUGAAAAAUUUGUUUUUUAAAAUUUGUUAGGAAAUAUCUCAAUUUCCUAAUUAAAAUAUAUAAAUUUUUUUAAUAAAAAAAUUAUUAUAUAGAACAUUUUCUAAAUUCAUAUACCAUUGUAAUGAGAUUUUUUAUAGAAUAAACAAGGGGAAUAGAUUAACUAGUGAGCUCUACAUACAAUUUAAUAAUUAAUUAGUUAGCUAAUAUUAUAUUAACUCUAACUCAAAUUAUUUGGCCAUCAGAGUCAUGGGAGCCUAAAAGAAAAGCUAAGAGCAAAGUGGAUGCAUACAACAAAACCAAAACUGUGGUAUUCCCUUCGAGGAUCUCAUGCCCACCAUCUUUACUCUAAAAAGCAUUGAAAUAUACUUUGGAGAUUAGGAGAUCGAGGAUUCAAGCAACUGGUAAAGCAGUUUCCCAUAUGAAGGUUAUAAUUAUAAGCAAGAGAAAAUUUCCAAUGGAAGAAGGAUUGAACUGGAAUUAAGUGUUUGAAGCCGUCAACAUCAUGACAAAGUUGUUGGUAAUUGGUAACUAUGGGACUGAGAGAAAUUAUUUUUUGAAACAUUACAUUAAAUACCAACCUCUUAUUUCGUUAUCAUCAAAAGAUGGCUACAAGAAACCUUGGGCUGACUAGUAGAUGGGUUUAAUUAAAUGGUCCAAACUAAGAUUGAAAUAAGAAUGCAAGCUCCGUGUCCACAACACGCUUUCAUACUGUUGAUAUACGAAACCACCGGGUGGUUUUCUAAGUUUUGAAUCUUCCAAAACCUUGAAAGACUUUUGGUGAAGUUGCCAAAAUUUCUAUAUAGAUAGAGUUCACAGAUGGUUUUGAAUUUUCUAAACACUUAGAAAAUACACUUUUUGCAGCAAGUACUUGCCAAUUUUUCAAUACCUGUAAAGGUCAGAAUACGAGGGAAGCCAUGGGCUGAUGAAUCAUGUUACAUCAACUGGAAGAGAAGAAGACCAUCUAGAUGUUUACCUGCCACCUUGAAAUUUAUAGCCAUUGUGUAGCAACCUUGUUUGUACUAUUAGAACAAGAAAAUGGAACCAUACUAACAAAGAAAACACUAUAUAAGAACAAACAUAUAUAUUCAACUGAAGUUCAUGAUAUAUGGAACUCCCAGGAUUACAAAGAUGAGUAGGUGCGUAUAUACUGUCAUAGGGAUGUGUAGUUUCAGAAGGUUGAACUAAAGGGGAAAGGACAAGGGGGCACAGGAACUUCAACAACUCCUUCAAGCAUCAGUAUGACCAUUCCCAUGGAGGGCCUCAAAGAAGGGUCCUCUUGAAUGCACCAAAUGGCAACCAUCACUACCCUCUCCAGCAUCCCCAUGUACUUUCUUACUUCAUCAUCAUUCUUCACUAGCUUAUCCAAUCUGUGCCCUCUAUAGCAAUCAUAAGCCCAAUCAGUAAGUAUUGCUUCCUCGUCAUUUUCUGGCUGUGAAUGUACGCUCUUCCUGCAACUGAUGAUCUCCAGUAACAUAACCCCAUAACUAUAAACAUCCACUUUCACCGUAAUCGGCUUGCUCCUGAACCAUUCUGGUGCAACGUAUCCUUUGGUCCCUCUGAUGGUUGUAAGGGCCCGAGUUUGAUCUCUCAUCAGAAGCUUUGCUAGUCCGAAGUCUGAAAUCCUAGGUGUAAGGUACUCGUCAAGGAGGAUGUUUUCAGGCUUUAUAUCACAAUGGAUGAUGGGGGUGCUGCACUCUUCAUGUAAAUACAUUAGCCCUUUUGCAAUCCCAAAGGCAAUCUGUAGUCUUUGGCUCCAGUCAGGUGUAGAUAUUCCAAACAACAAGUCUGCUAAAGAUCCAUUGUUCAUGUACUCGUAUACCAGAAGCCGGUGCACCCCCUGAUCACAGUAUCCAAGCAAACUGACUAAAUUCCUAUGGUGGGUCCGCCCAAUCACAGUGACUUCUGUUUUGAAUUCCUUCUCACCUUCCUGUACCACCUUAUCUAACUUCUUGACUGCCACAAAUCUCCCAGCAUCUGAUGCCAAAACCCCUUUAUAUACUGUUCCAAAAGCUCCCCUGCCCAAUUUCUCCUUGAAUCCACAGGUUGCCUCGUCAAGUUCUUUGUAUGAAUAAGUUCUCACACUGGUGGUCGCGAAUAUGCUUGAAACGGACCGGAGAUUCAUCAGUUUCUUGUUGUAGAAGAAGAGAGCAGCCGCAGGAAUUGCUAACAACAAAAAGAGAUUAAACAACACAGAGCUGCCAAGGAGUACUGACCCAACAAGGAUCAAGGUAGACUUGUCUGGGCAUCUCUCUAUAGUAUCAUUUUUAAUCCGUACCUUGAUGAGAGCAGUAGUGUAUUGGAGCACAUUUUGUGUUGGUUCGUGUCUUCCAUUUGAGACAGGAAACUUCUUCUUCCAACACUGAUUGUCAGUGUUAUAGAUAGCAACCACACAGAGGCAAUCAUCUUUGCAAGACUGUUUACACUUCUCCUUGUUGAAUUCAGGUCCCUCCUGAAGUUGAUAAUCAGAUAAUGGCCAGUUGACAUCUUUUAAUUCUCUGAACUCUACUGCAUCCUUGUUUGCUUCCCAUCCAUCAACAGCUGUUUGGCAGCUGGGCAAUUCAAAAUUCGGUUUACAGCCUUGUUUUCUGUCAAGAGGAUCCAAAUGAGAGUACCCAUCUGGGCAUAGACAAUCAGGCAGCCCCCUUCCAUCAAUGGAACAAUAGCUGUUGAACCCACAAAUUCCACUGCCAAGAUUACUUGGGGUCACGGUACAAAUGUUAUCAGGAAUGUUUUUCACAACAGACCAAGAAGUACUGCUGUUGUCACGAUUAUAUAGCCUGAAAACUCCAUCCUGGUCAAGCGUUGCCCGGUAAUAGUAAUCUCCCGUCAAGCUACUUCCGGAGGCGAUGUUAACAGUACCUCCAUUCCUUAGAAGAACAUAGAUGCUACCUGACUCAUCAAAAAUCACCCGUUGGCCAGAAUUGCCGCUAUUUGCAGCAUCAUUGGUGUUGCUUGAAUAAUAAACAUCAUAUGCUUUACCAGAUUCUGGGUCCAAGGUAUUAAGUACGAGAUUGCCUCCAGCUUCCAUUUGAAGCUGGAACCUCCCCUUUGAGUAGCUGCUGUUUGACUGCUGAGAAUACAUGGUGCCACCGAUUUCCAGUGUUUGAGUUGGCAAGAUGGUGUUGGCUGGAUUCUGGAAGCUCUGCCACACUGUAAGAUUUUGAUUCCUAUUUUCAAGAACAAAGUUACCAGUAUCAAGCAUGGCAGCAUGAGUGACCGCGGUAACAGAGUUCUGAGGUCUCCAUAUCUCUUUGCCUUGUGGAUCACUUAGUAUGAACUGGCCAUCAGAGGUAAGUUCAAGUUUGGAUCCUUUAGGAGCCGGGUUAUCUCCAUUUGCAUACCAAACUAAGGUUUUUUCUGGUAUUUUUUCGAACCAGAUAGCAAGCAAGAAGAGACUUUGACUGCCAAGGCGGUAAAACCCAAACGCAAAUUCACCAGAAGGUGAUACACAUCUAGGCGAGUUGUUGGAGGCGGUAAUAUCAAGAUCAGUGCAAUAUUGAGAAAAAACUAAAGACGGAAGGACAAGAAGAAGCAAGAACCUGGCAGCCAUUGCAGAAGAGCCUUGGUACUACCCUUCACACCGGAGAA